AAGCCAAAGGAAAUACUCAGUUUAUGUGUUAAAUACAAUUCCUGACUAGGAUAUGAGAGUUGGUUUUAAAAACAUUAUAUUAUGGAAUGGAAAAACAAAUUUACAAUUUAAUACUUCCCUGUGGGUUUGGAGACUCUUUUUCUUACUUGUUACUUAUACGAUAUAAUAUGGCAACCCAGUUUAAUAUUAUACCAUGGAUAAUACUAACAGAUGAAUUCUAAAAGUUGUUUUAUGACAGUUAAUGGCUGAUAAAUUAAAAUUGAUUUGGCAGUACAUUGCAUUUAAACAGUUAAAAAUGAAACAAUUUUCUGCUUGUUUUCACUUUCACAGUUAUUUUAUUUUAUUUUCAGAGAACGAUCUCCUCAGCAGAAUAUAGUAUCUUGUGUAAGUGUAAGCACCCAGACAGCUUCAGAUGAUCAAGCUGGUAAACUGUGGGAUGAACUCAGUCUGGUUGGGCUUCCAGAUGCCAUUGAUAUCCAAGCCUUAUUUGAUUCUACAGGCACUUGUUGGGCUCAUCACCGUUGUGUGGAGUGGUCACUAGGAGUAUGCCAGAUGGAAGAACCAUUGUUAGUGAACGUGGACAAAGCUGUUGUCUCAGGGAGCACAGAAGUAAGUAGACAAAGCAAAUAUUUAAAUCAUAG
rnacentral:lncRNA from 1 species